CCAAACUUUACCCUAAGACACUGGAAAAGUAAAUGUCAGCAUAAGGAAGUAAGAAAAAAAUUAGAGCACUAAUUAAUGAAGCAGAAAUUAGAAAAGCAUAUAAAAAAUCACUAAAAACAAAAUUAACCAAAUUUUAGCUCAACAGACUAAGCAAAUAAGAGAGAAGACUCAAAUUAUUCAAACCAAGAAUUAAAGAGGGAACAUCACUACUAACCUUACAGAAAUAAAAAGUACUAUAAGAAAAUAGUAUGAAAGGAUAAGGUCAUUGAUGAAAUGGAUAAAUUCCUAGCUAUAACUGACUCAAGAAGAAAGAGAAAAUUAAAAAUUUGAGUAAACCUCUAGCAAGCAGAAUGAUUGGAUUACUAGCUAAAAACUACCCCCAAAAGAUCUCAGGCCCAGAUGGCUUCACUAGUACAGUCUACUGAUUACUUACAGAAGAAUUAUUAGCAAUCUGUAAAUUAUUCUUUGAAAAAAUAUAUGUAUGUCCCAAAUGGGGAAAAUACACUAGAGAUAGAAAGAAGAUUGGUGGCUGCCCAGGGCAGGAGGGGUGGGCAGCCAGGGGCAAGACAGGAGCAGAAUGGCUCAGAGGUAUCAGGUUUCUUUUUGAGGUGAUGGAAAUGUAAAAUUGAUUGUGGUGAUGGCACAACUCUGUGAACAAACCAAAACCCACUGAAUCCCACACUUCCAAGGUGCAACUUGUCUGGCAAGUAAAUUGUACAUCCAAUGAAGGUGUUAAAAAUCUAAUUUCUCAAUGGGCACUGGAGGCUGAGACAGGAGGAUUGGGAGUUCAAAGCCAGCCUCAGCAAUGGUAAGACACUAAGCAAUUCAGUGAGAUUGUGUCUCUAAAUAAAAUACAAAAUAGGGCUGGGGAUGUGGCUCAGUGGUCGAGUGCCUCUGGGUUCAAUCCCUUGUAUCAGAAAAAAAAAAUUCCAAUUUCUCUAGAUUAUUCAUGUUGUGUGUGUUG
rnacentral:lncRNA from 1 species